rnacentral:tRNA from 1 species
GCCGUUGUGGUGGAAUUGGUAGACACGAGGGACUUAAAAUCCCUUGGGCGUAUAGCCCAUGCCGGUUCGAUUCCGGCCAACGGCA